UCUAAUCUUCGCUGUUCGAAAAUUUACUUUCAUCGAAGCAAAGUUGACGAAAUUCUUGGAUUCGAAAUGAAGAUUCCGAUUCGACACAGUUUCAUCGGACUCAUACUGUUGAUGGAAGCUUGUUUAUUGAUUAAAGGAGAGGAAUGCUGGAUUCCUAUGAUUUGCGACGAUCAACCUACUUGGAGAGAACUUACGGAAGGACAGUGCACAAAAGAAGAAGAGAAA